GCCCCGCCCCGCCUCGUGGCCCCGCCCCCUUCCGCCCGACGGGGAGCGUGAGCGGCGUGCGCGACGCUCGUGGGCCCCUGCGCGGGGUCGGGGUUCCGCGGCUGGUGACGCGGCGUUCUGAGUUCUGUGACUCCGCCACCCGGUGGGAAGCCGAGCUUCUGCGGGUCCCGGCCCCUCCGGCCUGUGCCGCCCCGCGCCCGUGCCCGCGCCGGUACCCGCGCCGGUACCCGCGCCGGAGCCCGGGAAAAAGGUGGAUAAGGAAGGAAAUCGUGCUCCGCUUUAGCGCUUUGGAGAAGGCCGGUGCUCGGCCACGAGGAUCCUUGGUCAUUAGUGAUUUGUCUUCAGGCAAUCAUACCAGUUCUUCUAGAAAGACACUAUCCAGUCUGCUGUGAAAUGCCCAGUUUCCUACCAGUGAACUCUCUAUACCCGAAACUUUCUAGCACUGGAGGAAAACAUGCGGCCAGAGGAGGAGUGGAUUUAACUAGCUGAAGAGCGCCUGAGAAACAGCGUGGGACAAAAGCAGGUAGUAUUUGUAUUUUGCUACCAACAGGAAAAUUUUAUUCCAGAUAAUAACCAAGACUUACAGAUUUAACCUUUAGUCAAAUGUAUGCCCUGAACAUACAUUUCCACUGAAUAGGAUUCCACUGAAUUUACAGGAGCUCCUCUUGAACCACAAAGAAAAGCAUUUGAUGGGAUCUCCCUAAAACAUCUCUCAAAAAGCCUGCCACAUGCCUUUUCCAGUGCGUGAGAACACUGCGCUUCGCAUCCACGCCGCACUUUCAAGGUCAGCUUCCAUCUGCUCCCAAACCAGGGGGUUCUUUGACCUUUCACAGUCUUGACCUUUGCUUCUUGUUUCAAAAACUCUCCUACCAGCCCGGAGGGCCUAGGUGACAGUCUAAUGAUGCAUCAGCUCAAAUUUGUCUGAUUUACUGGAAAGCAACUCAAAGUACAGAUUUUGUCCUCACAAAAGUUGUGUUCAACCAAAUAAUUUUAAAUGCAUUAGAGGGAUUAAAUAUUUAAAGAACGAUUUCUGUGUAACCAGGAUUUCCAAACUCUGGGUACAUUUUUGGAACAAGUCGAUGGCAGAAAAAAAACCCCACAAAAAACAAAAACAAAAACUAAACAAACAAAAAAAGAUUUAGUAAAGCAUUUGGGCAGUCCCUUGGAAAUAACUGGACUGGAGAGUCAAAUUUCAAUUAUUCAUGGCGAUAAGAAGCAAAGCCUAUCAUCAAUGUAAGUGCACAAAUAACUGAAAAAUGUUACUGUAGCAGUUUCAACAUAGAGCAAAUCUUUGAAAGAAAAUACAGAGUAA